rnacentral:lncRNA from 1 species
AAGGAGUUCUUAGGCUAAGCUGGGAGUUUGGAAGCUAGACAGGACAAAAAUCAAGUUCACAAACUACAAUCAAGAAGAAUACAUCUGAACCUUGCCCUUCAGGUUUGCAAACCACAAAGACUUGUGGGGACAUCAGAAGAAGGAUGACCCAAGUAUGGAAUGAUGCCAUUAGAUCCUGGAGAAGCUGCUGCUCGAUCCAGACCUGUUGUGUUUGCCACCCACCCCACCCGGCUCAGCCGCUUUUGCCUGCGGGCGUUCAGCCCCCGAUCCAGACCUGAUUCA